UCUCUGAAUCCCCUGAUUUCGCUGCCUUCAGCUUGAACACUCAACUGCUCUGCACUGCCAAGUGCUCUGAGCAGCAGCAGCAGCUCAUGCCUGAGUUGGAGGCCAGAUUCUUGAUUCGCUGAAGCUUUGAACCGCUAGCUGCCUCCCAAGCAGAGUGGAGCCUCGCCGCCGCGUGCCGCGUGCCUUCGUCUUCCUCGUCUGCCUCCACAGUCCAGCACGAGCUUCACCUGACAGACCUCCUCCUCAAUCCUCGCCUCACCCAUGGCUUGCUUCCAUGCUCCACAAUCCGCAACCCUUUCAGUAUCAGAUCCAUCUGCAGAUACCGGAGAGCCAUAGCAGGGCGAUGGGUGAGGCCGUACUUUGCGCUCCCGGUCGGCACGGAAGUUGCCGGCGGCGGAGGAGACGACGAGGGGGUAGAGACGAAUCAGGGGGCACAUUGCGAAUUUCUUAUCCAAACCAGAGGGUUAAGUGUAAAUAUUCGGACCACGAUUGCUAAUCGCGAUCCGAAUUAGGGAUGUAUAUGAAAAUACUCGGAUCGCGAUUAUUAAUCGAGAUCCAAACCAGGGGUGUAUUUGUAACUAUCCCGAUCUUUUUAGGGGAGGCAUUUGUAGAUAUUCCGGCCGGCGACAUGGCACCCGCGGAGGUCGCGCCGCCGCCGGCGAUCGCUCUUUCAGGCUUCCCGCGCUCGCCACCGUCACAUUCACUCGCCCAGAACUACCUCAGGCCUCGCGCGCGGGCCGCUAAUUGACCUAGCUUUUCCACGGCGACUGCCGCCUCAGGCUUCCGCGCUCCGGCCGAUCGAGCCGCCUAGUUCGUCUUCUCAGUUCCCCGCACGGGUGGGUUCACUCCGCUCGUCGUCGCGUCGCCCCUCAACAACCUCCGCGGGCUCCGCCCAGCAACAGCCGGCCGCGCAUUCCGUCACCACCAGCUUCAUGUUUCAUGGAUGAAAAAUAGGGCUUCAGCACCUGGAAGCUUGAAGGGAUGAACUAAGAAGAACACAUUAAAGGUUUGUAUGGCUUCUGGCAGAUACGGUCCAAAAUGACAACAAAAGCCAUGAUCAUUGAGCGAUCGACAUUUGGCAUGAUGGUAAGGCUGAAGACAUCUUCGCCAAGUGUGACCGUUUCCGACACUGCGCCGGCCUUCUUCCUGGUUAUCCUAGCCACCUCCUCCCCGUUGCCUUUUCGGAUCUUGCAGCUUCUCCUCCAGAAGCUACCCUGCACCCUGAAGCUAGGAGCUUGGGAGUCAUGAUCUGAUGAUGAGUUGGUGCAUCCUGAUAUGUGCACCUCUGCUUCGUCAUUGGUUUUUACAAGUGAGCAUUUCCUCAUGGAGAAGAGGUGCUGCCGCCUGGAGGAGCUCUUGUCACCGGCUUCUUCUGAUGCUCUGUAACAGUUCCACUGAUCGCACAUGCUGAGAAUCUGGCGCAGCAAGAGGGGGCAUUGUUAGUGUCAUAAUAUUUGGUAAUUGCAAAGUUGUUCCAUCUGCUUUGUCAAAACUGCCUGGCAAAGAAACAUUAACCAGAGGAGAUACUACUGAUGCUGCAAUAUGUUUAUUUUAUUUUGCUGCUA